rnacentral:rRNA from 1 species
UACGAAGGGGGCUAGCGUUGUUCGGAUUUAUUGGGCGUAAAGAGCGUGUAGGCGGCCAGAUAGGUCGGUUGUGAAAACUGGAGGCUCAACCUCCAGACGUCGACCGAAACCCUCUGGCUAGAGUCCGGAAGAGGAGAAUGGAAUUCCUGGUGUAGCGGUGAAAUGCGCAGAUAUCAGGAAGAACACCCGUGGCGAAGGCGGUUCUCUGGGACGGUACUGACGCUGAGACGCGAAAGCGUGGGGAGCGAACAGG